rnacentral:rRNA from 2 species
UGGGGGAUAUUGCACAAUGGAGGAAACUCUGAUGCAGCGACGCCGCGUGAGUGAAGAAGUAUUUCGGUAUGUAAAGCUCUAUCAGCAGGGAAGAAAAUGACGGUACCUGACUAAGAAGCCCCGGCUAACUACGUGCCAGCAGCCGCGGUAAUACGUAGGGGGCAAGCGUUAUCCGGAUUUACUGGGUGUAAAGGGAGCGUAGACGGCGACGCAAGUCUGAAGUGAAAUACCCGGGCUCAACCUGGGAACUGCUUUGGAAACUGUGUUGCUAGAGUGCUGGAGAGGUAAGCGGAAUUCCUAGUGUAGCGGUGAAAUGCGUAGAUAUUAGGAAGAACACCAGUGGCGAAGGCGGCUUACUGGACAGUAACUGACGUUGAGGCUCGAAAGCGUGGGGAGCAAACAGG